rnacentral:lncRNA from 1 species
AUGUGGUGCGCUCCCAAACUGGAUGCCCCCCAGGCCACUCCUAGGAGGCCGCUGAGGGUGAGCGGGACUAUCCAGAUCAGGGCCAGGCGCCCCCCUGCGCCGCCGCCACUGCCGCCCCCGGGCGAUCCCAGAUCGGCGCCGCACCGAAGCAUCCUCUGGUACAUGGCGGGGCGCCCGCCAAGGGGCAGCCGCCGCGGGAGGCAAAGUUUGGGGCACAAGAAGAGAAGAGGAAGCCGGGGAUCGGGCGGCUCGCGGUUGGCUGCUGGAUUGGCCGCCUUACCGCGCCAGGGCAGCCAUCCUCUCCCUCCUUCGGACAGUCUUCUCAGGGUCCUGGAGUCUGCAGUGCCCUACAACAGUACCCCAAACAAUCCGAAACAUAGCCGAGGUGAAUGUAGCUGGCCGGAGGACUUGUCCGGAAAAGCAGACCCGAAGAACAGCAAGCGCAGAAAGGGUGGCUGCUUCCAGGUUUGCAGGGCUCCAGGUUCUCCAGAGAUACUCCCCAAGAGUUUCGGGCGAGAGUGUGUGCCGGGGUUGGGGAGCCUGGAAAUUGUUUAAAGCUCCUCCCGGAGGGUCUUCACUUCUACAUGACAGCCAUCCACCGGGAAUCCACUAG